GCCUGGGUGGCUUAGUCGGUUAAGCAUCUGACUUCCGCUCAGGUCUUAAUCUCACGGCUUGUGGGUUCGAGCCCCGCUUCGGGCU
rnacentral:tRNA from 1 species